rnacentral:piRNA from 1 species
UGCAAACUACUAAUGGUCCCAUGUCUC